UUCCAGACUCCUACGGGAGGCAGCAGUGGGGAAUAUUGCACAAUGGGGGAAACCCUGAUGCAGCGACGCCGCGUGAGUGAAGAAGUAUUUCGGUAUGUAAAGCUCUAUCAGCAGGGAAGAAAUAGCGACCUUUGGGUCGCCAGACGGUACCUGAUUAAGAAGCCCCGGCUAACUACGUGCCAGCAGCCGCGGUAAUACGUAGGGGGCAAGCGUUAUCCGGAUUUACUGGGUGUAAAGGGAGCGUAGACGGCGCUGCAAGUCCGGAGUGAAAGUCCAUGGCUUAACCAUGGUACUGCUCUGGAAACUGUGGAGCUUGAGUGCGGGAGGGGCAGGCGGAAUUCCUAGUGUAGCGGUGAAAUGCGUAGAUAUUAGGAGGAACACCAGUGGCGAAGGCGGCUUACUGGACUGUAACUGACGUUGAGGCUCGAAAGCGUGGGGAGCAAACAGGAUUAGAUACCCGAGUA
rnacentral:rRNA from 1 species